rnacentral:lncRNA from 1 species
AGAUUCAGACCCAAAGCUUCCUGUUUGUAAGUCUUGUCAGGGAGAACAUAUGCUAGGCCCCAGAUUCAAACCCAAAGCUUCCUGUUUGUAAGUCUUGUCAGGGAGAACAUAUGCUAGGCCCCAGAUUCAGACCCAAAGCUUCCUGUUUGUAAGUCUUGUCAGGGAGAACAUAUGCUAGGCCCCAGAUUCAGACCCAAAACUUCCUGUUUGUAAGUCUUGUCAGGGAGAACAUAUGCUAAGCCCAUAGGUCUAUGUAUUUUAUAGUAAGUGGCAAUCACUCUGACUUUGAAUUGUUUCUGUAGAAACAACAACAAUUACAAGGAAAACUGAUGGACACAAAUACUGCUUUUGAGUUUAUUCUUAGCACAGAUGAUAAUGAGGGAAUAAACAUUCAUGUUUUCAAGGACCACCAAUCAAUCAUAACAACAGUCUUUUGGUUCAAACGUACCAACUUCAAUGACAGCACUGACUUUAUAGACACAAGAAAUAACUGUCAACAUCAAAUUCAGAUGUCUUGAUUUUAUGAUCAACUGGGUACCUGGUCUUAUGAUCAUAUGGACAUUCUGGAAAUGAAUGUGUGGACAGGCUCACAAAGACAGCUGUCUCUGCAGCAUCAGUUACAUGAAGGAUUGAAUGGGAUGAUAAACAGCAAAGAGGAAAUAUGUAGCAGUGUCAUUUUUAACACUUUCAUUAUGUUGUUCAUUUAAUGUUUUUAACUCCUCUCAUAUUUCAGAUUUGUCAACAUGGGGCUUUAAACCUUUUAUUUAUUAUUUAACAUAGGGCCUUUAAAGUAUAGAAAAGUGAGAUGUUGUCACCAUUUCCACGAACUGAUUAUUUUUAGAUUGGCUAGUUUCACUUUUUUUCGUCCAAUAAGAUUGGAGUAUUGGUUGUUUUGUGGUCACAUGAUCUUGGUUUACGGUAGAGACCGCCAUGUUUAAUUUCUUGUUGUCACCAUUUCCACGGACUGAUUAUUUUUAGAUUGGCUAGUUUCACUUUUUUUCGUCCAAUAAGAUUGGAGUAUUGGUUGUUUUGUGGUCACAUGAUCUUGGUUUGCGGUAGAGACCGCCAUGUUUAAUUUCUUGUUAGCAAGGCAAAGUGGUUUAUCAAGUGUUUUACUUUUUUAUAAGUUUGUAUGGUGUAUUUGGAUAUCGGAAUUGGCACAGUUACAGCUCUUGGAGGUGUUGGUACACAAGCACAGGUUUGAGGAGACUGGAGAGUGUUGUUACAUGCAAUGUGGGUGUUUAUUCUACAAAUAAGACCCGGACAUGUUACACGUCUUGAGUGGUUUGAUGAUAAACAGUUAUUUAUGUGCUCAGAGACAUGUACCAUUGUUUACAUGAUGACAGAUUGAUAUAUAUAGAAGAAGAUUAUAUAGAUAAUUAAAAGUAGUAGAAACCCCGAA